rnacentral:rRNA from 1 species
AAAUUGAAGAGUUUGAUCAUGGCUCAGAUUGAACGCUGGCGGCAGGCCUAACACAUGCAAGUCGAGCGGUAGCACAGAGAGCUUGCUCUCGGGUGACGAGCGGCGGACGGGUGAGUAAUGUCUGGGAAAUUGCCUGAUGGAGGGGGAUAACUACUGGAAACGGUAGCUAAUACCGCAUAACGUCGCAAGACCAAAGUGGGGGACCUUCGGGCCUCAUGCCAUCAGAUGUGCCCAGAUGGGAUUAGCUAGUAGGUGGGGUAACGGCUCACCUAGGCGACGAUCCCUAGCUGGUCUGAGAGGAUGACCAGCCACACUGGAACUGAGACACGGUCCAGACUCCUACGGGAGGCAGCAGUGGGGAAUAUUGCACAAUGGGCGCAAGCCUGAUGCAGCCAUGCCGCGUGUGUGAAGAAGGCCUUCGGGUUGUAAAGCACUUUCAGCGGGGAGGAAGGCGUUAAGGUUAAUAACCUUGGCGAUUGACGUUACCCGCAGAAGAAGCACCGGCUAACUCCGUGCCAGCAGCCGCGGUAAUACGGAGGGUGCAAGCGUUAAUCGGAAUUACUGGGCGUAAAGCGCACGCAGGCGGUCUGUCAAGUCGGAUGUGAAAUCCCCGGGCUCAACC